AGAGUUUGAUCCUGGCUCAGGAUGAACGCUGGCGGCGUGCUUAACACAUGCAAGUCGAACGAACCUUCGGGUUAGUGGCGGACGGGUGAGUAACGCGUGGGAAUCUGCCCUCAGGAGGGGGAUAACGGCUGGAAACGGCCGCUAAUACCCCAUAUGCCGAGAGGUGAAAAGAAAUUCGCCUGAGGAUGAGCCCGCGUCUGAUUAGCUAGUUGGUGGGGUAAGAGCUCACCAAGGCGACGAUCAGUAGCUGGUCUGAGAGGAUGAUCAGCCACACUGGGACUGAGACACGGCCCAGACUCCUACGGGAGGCAGCAGUGGGGAAUUUUCCGCAAUGGGCGAAAGCCUGACGGAGCAACGCCGCGUGAGGGAUGAAGGCCUCUGGGCUGUAAACCUCUUUUCUCAAGGAAGAAGACAUGACGGUACUUGAGGAAUAAGCCACGGCUAAUUCCGUGCCAGCAGCCGCGGUAAUACGGGAGUGGCAAGCGUUAUCCGGAAUUAUUGGGCGUAAAGCGUCCGCAGGCGGCCCUGUAAGUCUGUCGUUAAAGCGUGGAGCUUAACUCCAUUUAAGCGAUGGAAACUACAGGGCUUGAGUGUGGUAGGGGCAGAGGGAAUUCCCGGUGUAGCGGUGAAAUGCGUAGAUAUCGGGGAGAACACCAGUGGCGAAGGCGCUCUGCUGGGCCAUAACUGGCGCUCAUGGACGAAAGCCAGGGGAGCGAAAGGGAUUAGAUACCCCUGUAGUCCUGGCCGUAAACGAUGAACACUAGGUGUCGGGGGAAUCGACCCCCUCGGUGUCGUAGCCAACGCGUUAAGUGUUCCGCCUGGGGAGUACGCACGCAAGUGUGAAACUCAAAGGAAUUGACGGGGGCCCGCACAAGCGGUGGAGUAUGUGGUUUAAUUCGAUGCAACGCGAAGAACCUUACCAGGGUUUGACAUCCUGCGAAUCCCUUGGAAACGAGGGAGUGCCUUCGGGAGCGCAGAGACAGGUGGUGCAUGGCUGUCGUCAGCUCGUGUCGUGAGAUGUUGGGUUAAGUCCCGCAACGAGCGCAACCCACGUCUUUAGUUGCCAGCAUUCAGUUGGGCACUCUAGAGAGACCGCCGGUGAUAAACCGGAGGAAGGUGUGGAUGACGUCAAGUCAUCAUGCCCCUUACAUCCUGGGCUACACACGUACUACAAUGCUACGGACAAAGGGCAGCAAGCUCGCGAGAGUUAGCAAAUCCCAUAAACCGUGGCUCAGUUCAGAUCGUAGGCUGCAACUCGCCUACGUGAAGGAGGAAUCGCUAGUAAUCGCAGGUCAGCAUACUGCGGUGAAUACGUUCCCGGGCCUUGUACACACCGCCCGUCACACCAUGGAAGUUGGCCAUGCCCGAAGUCGUUACUCCAACCCC
rnacentral:rRNA from 1 species